CACCCUCACAUGGCAAUUUUGAUCCGCAUAGAUACUAAUCAUCUAGACCACAGGGAUUGGUGGAAGUCAUGCAAAACAGUUUUUUCCGCCUUCAUGUAAAGAUGGCACUGAAGCAGACACAUUGAGCACACGUUUGACAUGUCAAAGCUUGUUGUACUAAUUACAUAUGCCACCAACAAAGGGGAUGGAUACAAUUUGGGAUUUUAACUUUCCUGACCAGGACAGUCACGCAAUACUGGAAUAUAAAAGAAAACCAGAAACCCUGAACAUGGGUUACAGGAAGCCCCAGAGAGGACAUUCCCUGUAUUCUUCAGAGGAAAACUGGGGGAGAAGCUCCAUCAGGAGACCCCAGGGUUUGACCUGUUGGACCCCAACAUGAGAGUCAUAGAUGUUGGUUAUAACUGCCUCCACGACAAACACCUGAAGUGUUUUUUCCGCCAUCCGGAAAGGAAGAAGCGGCUGGUGAAGCAAGGCCUCAUCACCUCAAAUGAGAAGGCAUGGCAA